rnacentral:rRNA from 1 species
GACGAACGCUGGCGGCGUGCUUAACACAUGCAAGUCGAACGCUGAAGCUCAGCUUUUGUUGGGUGGAUGAGUGGCGAACGGGUGAGUAACACGUGAGUAACCUGCCUCCUUCUUUGGGAUAACGCCCGGAAACGGGUGCUAAUACUGGAUAUUCACUGGUCUUCGCAUGGGGGUUGGUGGAAAGGGUUUUUCUGGUGGGGGAUGGGCUCGCGGCCUAUCAGCUUGUUGGUGGGGUGAUGGCCUACCAAGGCUUUGACGGGUAGCCGGCCUGAGAGGGUGACCGGUAACAUUGGGACUGAGAUACGGACCAGACUCCUACGGGAGGCAGCAGUGGGGAAUAUUGCACAAUGGGCGCAAGACUGAUGCAGCGACGCCGCGUGGGGGAUGGAGGCCUUCGGGUUGUGAACCUCUUUCGCUCAUGGUCAAGCCGCAACAAUGGUUGUGGUGAGGGUAGUGGGUAAAGAAGCGCCGGCUAACUACGUG